AGUGAACGCUGGCGGUAGGCCUAACACAUGCAAGUCGAACGGCAGCACAGUAAGAGCUUGCUCUUACGGGUGGCGAGUGGCGGACGGGUGAGGAAUACAUCGGAAUCUACUUUUUCGUGGGGGAUAACGUAGGGAAACUUACGCUAAUACCGCAUACGACCUACGGGUGAAAGCAGGGGAUCUUCGGACCUUGCGCGAUUGAAUGAGCCGAUGUCGGAGUAGCUAGUUGGCGGGGUAAAGGCCCACCAAGGCGACGAUCCGUAGCUGGUCUGAGAGGAUGAUCGGCCACACUGGAACUGAGACACGGUCCAGACUCCUACGGGAGGCAGCAGUGGGGAAUAUUAGACAAUGGGCGCAAGCCUGAUCCAGCCAGACCGCGUGGGUGAAGAAGGCCUUCGGGUUGUAAAGCCCUUUUGUUGGGAAAGAAAAGCAGCAGGUUAAUACCCCGCUGUUCUGACGGUACCCAAAGAAUAAGCACCGGCUAACUUCGUG
rnacentral:rRNA from 1 species